CCUACGGGGGGCAGCAGUGAGGAAUAUUGGUCAAUGGACGAGAGUCUGAACCAGCCAAGUAGCGUGAAGGAUGACUGCCCUAUGGGUUGUAAACUUCUUUUAUAUGGGAAUAAAAUGUUCCACGUGUGGGAUUUUGUAUGUACCAUAUGAAUAAGGAUCGGCUAACUCCGUGCCAGCAGCCGCGGUAAUACGGAGGAUCCGAGCGUUAUCCGGAUUUAUUGGGUUUAAAGGGAGCGUAGAGGGCAGCACAAGUCUGAAGUGAAAUGCCGGGGCUUAACCCCGGCGAGCCGUUGAAACUGGCGGGCUGGAGUUGGAGAGAAGUACGCGGAAUGCGCGGUGUAGCGGUGAAAUGCUUAGAUAUCGCGCAGAACCCCGAUUGCGAAGGCAGCGUACCGGCUCCACACUGACGCUGAGGCACGAAAGCGUGGGUAUCGAACAGGAUUAGAUACCCGAGUAGUC
rnacentral:rRNA from 1 species